GACGGACGCUGGCGGCGUGCUUAACACAUACAAGUGGAGCGACGAACCAGGGCUUGCCCUGGGGCAGAGCCGCGAACGGGUGAGUAACACGUGGGUUACCUGCCUCGAUGACUGGGACAACCCGAGGAAACUCGGGCUAAUACCGGAUGUGACCGCAAGGGGAAAGGAAGCUUCGGCCUCCGCAUCGAGAUGGGCCCGCGGCCCAUUAGCUUGUUGGUGAGGUAACGGCUCACCAAGGCCGCGAUGGGUAGCUGGUCUGAGAGGACGAUCAGCCACACUGGGACUGAGACACGGCCCAGACUCCUACGGGAGGCAGCAGUGGGGAAUCUUGCGCAAUGCGCGAAAGCGUGACGCAGCAACGCCGCGUGGGGGAAGAAGGCUUUCGGGUUGUAAACCCCUUUCAGUUGGGACGAAGCUUCGCCGAUGAAUAGUCGGCCGGAGUGACGGUACCUUCACAAGAAGCACCGGCUAACUACGUGCCAGCAGCCGCCGUAAAAC
rnacentral:rRNA from 1 species